ACAACGGAGAGUUUGAUUCUGGCUCAGAACGAACGCUGGCGGCGUGGAUAAGACAUGCAAGUCGAGCGGGGACCAGUGGGUAGCAAUAUUCGCUGGUUCUAGCGGCGAACGGGUGCGUAACACGUGGGCAAUCUGCCCUGAAGACUGGGAUAACUGUGCGAAAGCGUGGCUAAUACCGGAUGUGGAGGCCGGAGGGCAUCCUUCGGACUCCAAAGCUGGGGUUCCUUCGGGAACCUGGUGCUUCAGGAUGAGCCCGCGGCCUAUCAGCUUGUUGGCGGGGUAACGGCCCACCA
rnacentral:rRNA from 1 species